UACGGAGGGUGCUAGCGUUGUUCGGAAUUACUGGGCGUAAAGGGCGCGUAGGCGGCCGUUUGCGUCGGAUGUGAAAGCCCGGGGCUCAACCUCGGAACGGCAUUCGAUACGGGACGGCUGGAGACCGGGAGAGGAGAGUGGAAUAGCCAGUGUAGCGGUGAAAUGCGUAGAUAUCUGGAAGAACACCGGUGGCGAAGGCGGUCAACUGGCCCUCGACUGACGCUGAGGCACGAAAGCGUGGGGAUCAAACAGG
rnacentral:rRNA from 1 species